UUAUGCUGUUAUCUGUUGCUACCAUUCAUAGUGUUCAGCUUUAAGCUGCAUUAAAACAGUAGUAAUCCCACAAUGCUCAGAAAUAGCUGCUGAAGAAAUACGAUAACAGCCAGGUUUCUGUUGCUAACUAACUCGUAUUUAGCAACUAAUUGUACAUCUGCCAUGUUUGCCAGUUUUAGAGGUGUACAUAGUAGUAAUUCAAAUUGUCGAGUGCAAUGAGGUAGCUAACUGAAUGCUUGGAUUCACUUCAUGGCGUCAAUGGAGUGGGGAGAGAGGUGAGGGUGGAAGAAAAGGAGCAAGGUUGGCAAGGAAGACAUUUUGAAAUGGGUAUAUAUUCGUUGAGAACAUAAACCUCUCAGGGUAUUUAUAUGAACUGUAAUCAAAGAUAUUUUGCAUGCACUUCAAGUUAUUUCUUACACUUUCUGAGCUAAAUACUAACUGUGGAAUAUUGCCAGCAGGAAUUGCCAGGAUAAGACCUUCCCUAGCCACCAGAACGUUUGUAGAAGACAUGUUUUUAGCUGUAGUUGAACAGCAGCUGAAUCACCAAAGCUUGGCGCAUUAGAGAUGUGAACGCGAGGAAGAGUGUUGCAGUGGGUGGCUAGACAUAUGGCUUUGUUGACCAGUCUGAAACUGUACAACCUUGAAGAGGGUACAUGCAAACAGCCUCGUGUUGGAAUGCGAGUGAAGUGGUGGACAUCAUGAAUUCACUCUACCAGACUGGUAUCGAGCUAUAUGGCCCAAGGUGGGCUAUGUGCAUGUUUUGCACAGCUUGUUUAACUGGAUAUCGUAAGAUGAGAUGCGCUCGUCCACUGGCCAUAGAAAAGAUUUCCCAAGCUUGGUAUGGCUUUUUCCAUGGACUUGUUUCUCUGCACUAAAUUGCAAAACUUCUUUGUUUUCUCAUUCUUAAUAAGCUUGAACUUCAGAAAUAGUUAGGCAACAAUAGUAUCUACCUUCUGUAGUAUGAGAUAUCCGCGGUGUUGUAUGCAUAGCUAAAUGAAAAAGAUAGGCAAAGAACAGUAUGCACCUUCAGGCCUCAUUUGGCAGGCAAAUAUUGACAUGCUUUGCAGAGUAUUUUACCGCCAGGGCUCAGUUUCCCCAAAAAAUUCCCUGUAGGACCAUUUGGUGUGCUGGUAUUGAACCGAGCAAACUCCAGAAUUAAACCUGACACUAUUUCAUAUUGCGUCAUAAUGGAUGGGUUGUUUCGUUCUGGGAGAACUGUUUCUGGAAGGGAAAUGUUCCAUGAGAUGAUCGAAAGUGGAACAACAGUCAGCAUUUCCACAUACAACGUAAUACUAGGAGGUCUUUGUAGAAAUAAUUGUGCAGACGAAGCGAUUGCCCUGUUCCAGAAAUUAGGUUCAAUGAAUGUGAAGUUCAGUAUUGCAAUAGUCAAUACCAUGAUCGAUGCAAUGUACAGGGUUGGGAGAAGAGAAGAAGCUAAGGAACUUUUUGCUGGAAUAUCAGCUCGUGGGUUGGUGCCUAAUGUAUCUACUUAUGGAGUAAUGAUUAUGAAUCUUCUAAAAGAUGGAGCAGUGGAAGAUGCUAACAAUGUGUUUUCAUCAAUGGACAAGAGUGGUAUAGUCCCCAGCUCCCGUCUCAUGAAUGACAUCAUCAGAUUGUUGUUGGAAAAAGGUGAGAUCGCCAAGGCAGGAUAUUAUUUGUCUAAAGUUGAUGGGAAGAGCAUAUCAUUUGAAGCUUCAACUACUUCAUUGAAUUUGCUCCCUGCAAAGUAUCAAUUUUUCGAUUGAGUUGGUUGACAUUACUUAUGAUACUAACUCCUGAGGAAGCACAUUUGAGUUUUUUGCUUGGCUAAACCCUCCUGCCAGUAUAACUGUAUAAGAAAUCCAAACUGCCUGCUUGCAGCAUUGAGGUCAUUUUGCGGUGUGUCAAAAUCACAAGAACGUGAAAUGUCUAUGUAUCUUUUAAUCUUCAAUGGGCGAGGAAAGGUAGACCAAGUAGUCUAACACAGACAAGUUGGAACUUUAGGGGUAAGACUUCUGAUGGCGACUGGGAAGGCAUACAAUCUUUUUCUAGUAGCCACCUGACAUUUUGUAAUCUCUCUAAAACAAUCACUUUGUAUGAAUGCAUUUUUAGAAAUGUCUUGGUGCUCUGGUCCGUAUGAAAGGGUUGGUUUACUUUUAAUUUUCAUGCUCAUGCUGUCAGUUGCACUGGUGGAGCUUGUUGCACUGAGAAAAGUAUUUCCAGCUUCAUUUCUUUCUGCUUAAUUCAUCAAAGAUUCAAUAUUUUCCCUCCUGGUGUAGGUAAAGGUAUGACCAAGAAUUUGCCGGUUCCAGCUUUCGUUUGAGCCUGCAGGUCGGUUGACAGAGAAGAAAAAAUAAAAAAUAUUUGCUUAACGAAAACUUUUUGCUCUCAUGAACUUCGGUGUUCAUACCUCUCUAGAUCUGCCCCCCUCAGUUUUCCAUACUGCUCUGCAGCAGCAAGGGUUCCAAGAAUCCAAGCUGCAAAAGUUCAGGAUCAAGGGAUUAGUACCUCGAGUUCCUCCACCAUGCCCAUCCUUCUUCCACCUCCCCCUCUUCUUCAGAUCUCAGCUUCUUUUUACCUUAUGCUAUCCAAAAAAGUUGAAGGUGAACCAUUCUUAUGUCUUGCAUGAACGUCAGUUAUGUGUCAACUAAGUUUGCAAGGAAUUGGGGUGGAUUAGAAGGCUCUGAAAAAGGCUUCGUCCUUGUAUGUUACUGAAGCUUUGGUUACAAAGAAAGCUCGGUUUAGUCGCAUAGCUAAACUAAACAUCCGACCAAAUUCCUGUUUGUAUGCAGCAUGUACAAGUUUGGAUUUAGCGAUUAUGUAGUAGAAGUAUAUGCAUCAUUCAUUUAUCAAUCAUUUAGUUCUGCCCAUGGUUAUGCAAGAAACGUUUUUAUGCUUUUAUUUGUCGUUACUGCCUGUAGUGUUCAAGCUCCAUUAAAAUAGCAGUAGUCCCACAACAUUUGCAUAGGAAUAGUUGCAGAAGAAGCAUGAUAUCAUCCAGAUUUUUAUUGCUAACAGGAAUUUAGUAAUUAACUGUACAUAAGCUUUACAGGUGUUAUUUGCAAUCGUACAUGUUUGCUUUUUUCAUUGAUUUGUUUCUCUCUAAUAAAUUGCAAAAAUGCUCUGUUUUCCGUUCACAAUACUGAGUUUCAGGAAUGCAAUUUGGACAAGCAUAUUAAGGCAGUUCAUGAGCAGAGUAGGCCCUUCGUCUGUGGAUUCUCUUGGUGUGUGAUUUUGCAGAGGCCGAUGAGCAUCCAGGUAGGUACAUGAGGAAGCCCAUCUGCGUCGAGAAUUUGAUGUGAAAGAGGGUAGCUGCUCCUGCUUACGAUGAUGCAACCGAGUAUCUGUGACGGCUUCUGUUAGGUCGAUGAAGGAAUUGGAACACGGAAAGGGAAACAUUGGGAGAACAUCGAAUUGCUUCCUGCAAAGUAUAAUUUUUUUGGUGGAUUUGGUUGAGUAGCUGAUGCACUGCCUAUGAGACCAACUUCUCGGAAAGCACAACUGAACCUUUUGCUUACCAUAAGGCCCUCCUGCCUGCUUUAGAUAACCAAUCUUAUGCAUGACGUGGUACUUUAUGGAAAAAGUAUGUGCUGUUGAAACCAAAUCAAAUCAAGCAGCAUCGAAAUACCUGUCAACACUUAUUUCAGUAAUGCAAAAAACCAACAACUAUUUUGGAACCAGUAAACAGUUAUACGAGAUAGUCAUACGUAAUAUCCAUUGCAGGCUUGCAGCAUUUACCAAAGUACGCCUAUUUGCAAGCAUUACAACUCUGUAAGUGGAGCAGCUCACCUCAGGGACCACCUUUGCAGCAUAGAAAACUGAAAUGGUUGUUGUGGCGUUCAUACAUCCUUCAGUUUUACAUAUCUGAAGGAGUUUAAGCGAAAAGGUCUUGUUUGUUUUGGUAGGUGGUGGGAAAUAAAAUAAUGGUAUGGGUAAAAGAAAUAAUGGUUUCUAAGCUUGAACUUGUUUGCUAUUAACUGUGGACAAUACCUUCUCUAGCCACCAGAACGUGCGUAGCGAGACAGAUUUUUAGCUGUAGUUGAACAACAGCUAAGUCACCAAAGGUCUACACAUUGGAGAUGCAGACAUGAGGAAGAGUGUUGCAGUUGGUGGCUAGACAUACGACUUGAUUGACCAAUCUGAAACUGCACAACCUUGAAGAUAGCACACACAAACAACCUCAGUGUUUGAGUUUGAGUGAAAUUGUGGAAUGUAAGGAAAAAAUGGAAUCAUCAUGAAUUCCCUCUAGCAGACUUAUAUGGAGCUAUGUGGCUUAAGGUCAGGUGUAACCGAGCUAUGUGCAUGUUUUGCACAGCUUCAGUAGUUGGAUAUCGUAAGAUGAGAUGAGCUCGUCCAUUGGCGAGAGAAAGAGUUCCAAAGCUUGGUAUGACUUUUUUCAUGGACUUGUUUCUCUGCAAUAAUUGCAAAACUUCUUUGUUUCUCGUUCUCAAUAAGUUUGAACUUAAGAAAUUCAAUUUGGGCAAGCAUACUAAGGCAGAGUUCAUGAGCAAAGUAGACCCUUCACAUGUGGAUUCUCUGGCUGUGGCAAGGAGUUUCCAUACAGGCGUGUAAGGGAUAAUCAUGAGAAAUCUAGUUUUCACAUGCUCGUCGGGGUAAACAGACAACCAAACCAUAUCACCUAGUUUACCUCAUCUACACAUGCCUUUCUAGCUAGGAAAUUCUUUUUGCACUAGGAUGCUCACAGCUUCCCUUCAAAUCUUUGCAGGGUGAUUUCUUGGAGGCUGAUGAGCAACUAAGACCUCAUCCAGGCAGGCACAAGAGGACGCCUAUUUCCGUCGACACUUCGAUGCGGAAGAGGGUAGCUGCUUCUGAUGAUGCGCCCGCUUACGAUGCAACUGGGCAUUUGAGAUGGCGUGUGUCGGGAUGAUUUGUGCUGAACUCGAAGGACUAACACAAGAUGAUAUGUUCUCUUCGACGACUGAAUAUGCUUCUGUAGUAUGGGAUAUCCACAAUGUUAUUAUGUAUGUGUAUGUAUAGAAAAUGCAAGAAAUAGGGUAGAACAGUAUGUACCUGCCGAGAUAAGAUAGCAAUUUCUGAUAGAGGCAAUGUAAAGCUUCAUUUGUAUUAUAAGUCAAUGAAGAUGGUAUUUUCACAGUCAUGCUGCCACAGGUCUAGUAUAUGUUUGAUGGUUGUAUCCUUAAGGCAUUACAAGUGUCAGUACUCACAAGCUGAAGGUAAAACUUUGUUCUUGGAGGCUACCCA